ACGUGAUUAUAGUGUCACCAGGUUUUUGUUAAAACCAAAGUAGUAAUCAAAAACCUAACAUUGAUAAACUUACUCUUCUUUUCCCAUUUUAGAAGAUACAGAGAUUUCAAAUACACUAUACAGUAUCAACUUUAAUGCCUAGCUGGAUUGUGAGUUCUGAGGAAAAUUCUAAAAAACUUUUAACAAAUUUUAGGGAAUUUUUAUUUUUCAAAUCAUAAUUUGAAAUUAUCUGUACCUUUUUGUGAUAAUUAUCAAAGCAAUUCAUAAGCCAGUUUUCUACCAUUUUAGUUGAAAGACAAUAGUAGAUACAAUUGGGAAACCUGUUUUAAUUUUAGAGUAAGCAUCUACUUCUGCAUCAUACCCUUUGUAGGUUAUGGAACCUAUUUAGUUCAGAAAUUCUUUGUGGUGUGUGAGAUAAUGUAUGAGAAAAGUGUUGGUAAAUGCUGAGGACUAUACAAAUGAUACUUGUUAUUUUCAUGUGUAUUUGUAAGGUCAUGCCCAUCCGUAAAUAUAGACACUUUCUUACAGAAAAGCCUUUCUCAGUGUAACCUAUAUUUUAGUACUUUUGUAAGUAUUAACUAUUUACUUGUAUUUUGUUAUAUGUUUAUUUUUAAUAUUCAUGUGUUUAUUACAGUAAAUUUGAAAUGAAAUCCUAUAAACCAGAAUUUGUUUAAACAUGGACCUUAUGCCAAUAUUUUUAAAUUUUUUUCUCUACAUAAUUUAAAACCACAUAAUUAGGUCACCAAGAACUUAGC
rnacentral:lncRNA from 1 species